CCUACGGGUGGCAGCAGUAGGGAAUCUUUCACAAUGGGCGAAAGCCUGAUGGAGCAACGCCGCGUGCAGGAUGAAGGCCUUCGGGUUGUAAACUGCUUUUAUAAGCGAGAAAUAUGAUGGUAACUUAUGAAUAAGGAUCGGCUAACUACGUGCCAGCAGCCGCGGUCAUACGUAGGAUCCGAGCAUUAUCAGGAGUGAAUGGGUGGAAAGCGGUGCGUAGGUGGCAUAAUAAGUAGCUAGUGAAAUCUGGUGGCUCAACAAUUCAGACUAGUAGUUAAACUGUUAAGCUCGAGACCGUUAGGGGUAAAUGGAAUUUCUAGUGUAGGAGUGAAAUCCGUAGAUAUUAGAAGGAACACCAAUAGCGUAGGCAGGUUGCUGGGACGGUUCUGACACUAAGGCACGAAAGCGUAGGGAGCAAACGGGAUUAGAUACCCUUGUAGUC
rnacentral:rRNA from 1 species